CACAAGAAAUACACUAGAAGUUAGACAAAGGAAUACCCCAAAUACCAAACAGGUUAAAUGUGAAUACAAUAUGUUAGACUUGGGAUUAAUCAUAACUUGACCCUAUUUGUUUUUUAGACAUCUAUGUAUGGUGUACUACGCUCACAACAUGGUGUCAUCGGGGAUGUAUAUCGCCAUGGUGAGCACCACUGUAGAGACCAGUAACCCAGAGAAGUAAGUGCAGCCUGGGAUGGAACUGCUGGAGCCCAUUCAUCAGAGAUCUUUGUGUCUCGCUCCUAUGACGCCACGACACACUUUGAGACUGAGUGUGAGGACAUCAGGGAUUUGCAACACAGGAUGAGAAUUCAUCUUUGGUGACUUGUGCAGAAACUGUGAUGAUGGUGACGUGAUGAGGACAAAAGGGCGUUCCUCCCAUUUUGAACGUUGGUGCGAUUCCCACUUGGGUCUCCUAUACAAAAAUGUAUGCACACGCUUGGACAAAAGCGUCUGCAAAAUGGCAAAUAUUACAAAAAUAUUAUAUUGCGGUUGUCUGUCAUGUCUUUGUGUUUUUUAAGCAGCCCUUAGAUUGACCUUGUGUAUCUCCCAGAAUUCCCUGCUUGACAGCUACUGUAUGUCAUUGUAAAUGUUCCAUUUAUCAUGUGGUAGAUGCUCUUCUACUCUCUUUGAUGGUAUCGAGACUGGAGAGUGGCACGCUAAAUAAUUUCCUGUUGAUUUAAUACCCUGUCUAAUAAACACCACACUUAAUUUGA